rnacentral:rRNA from 1 species
UACGAAGGGAGCAAGCGUUGCUCGGAUUUAUUGGGCGUAAAGGGUGUGUAGGCGGUUUUGUAAGUUAGAUGUGAAAGCCCAGGGCUUAACCCUGGAAUUGCAUUUAAGACUGCGGAACUUGAAGUUCGAAGAGGUUAGCAGAAUUCCCAGUGUAGAGGUGAAAUUCGUAGAUAUUGGGAAGAAUACCAAUGGCGUAGGCAGCUAACUGGUCGACACUUGACGCUGAGGCACGAAAGCGUGGGUAGCAAACAGG